rnacentral:snoRNA from 10 species
AAGACUGUACUUUCAGGAAUCAUUUCUAUAGUUCAUUACUAGAGAAAUUUCUCUGAACAUGUAGAGCACCAGAAAAUAUUUUUAAAGAUUUCUUUAGGCUGGGCGCGGUGGCUCACGCCUGUAAUCCCAGCACUUUGGGAGGCCGAAGUGGGCGGAUCAUCUGAGAUUGGGAGUUCGAGACCAGCCUGACUAACAUG